UCAAGCUAGAAAGAGCUUAUGGUGGAUGCCUUGGUGCCAAGAGGCUAUGAAGGACGCAGCAAGCUGCGAUAAUCCACGGUCAGCCGCAAGCAGGCUAUGAACCGUGGGUCUCCGAAUGGGGAAACCCACUGAUGGAAACGUCAGUAUCGCUGGAUGAAUUCAUAGUCCAGCGAAGCAACACGUGGUGAAGUGAAACAUCUCAGUAACCACAGGAAAAGAAAACGACGUCAUUCCGCUAGUAGUGGCGAGCGAACGCGGAGGAGCCUAAACUAAUGAGACUUGUCUCAUCAGGGUUGUGGGACCUCAAUGUGGUAGGACUAUUGUUAGCUGAAUCUUUUGGAAGAAAGAGCCAUAGACCGUGAAAGCCGGGUCAGUAAAACAAGAAGCCGCCUAGAGAAAUCCCAAGUAGCACGGUGCAAGUGAAACUCUGUGCGAAUCAGUCCGGACCACCGGAUAAGGCUAAAUACUACUUGGCAACCGAUAGUGAACCAGUACCGCGAGGGAAAGGCGAAAAGAACCCCUUUUAGGGGAGUGAAACAGAUCCUGAAACCAUAAGCUUACAAUGUGUAGGAGCGCUUAAUAGCGUGACUGCUUGCCUUUUGCAUAAUGAGUCUGCGAGUUAUUGUCUGCGGCCCGCCUAAACCUUUUUUGGUGAAAGCGAAGGGAAACCGAGUGCGAAAUGCGCGUUUGUCGCUGGCAAUAGACCCGAAGCGGAGGUGAUCUACUCUUGAGCAGGUUGAAACUGUGGUAACACACAGUGGAGGACCGAACUCGUGAAUGUUGAAAAAUUCUGAGAUGACUUGAGAGUAGGAGCGAAAGACUAAUCAAACCCCGUGAUAGCUGGUUCUCUCCGAAAUAGCUUGAGGGCUAGCGUUGGAUAAGUUCUCCGAGGAGGUAGAGCACUGGAUGGCUUAGAGUCCCUACCAGGAUAUCAAAACCAAUCAAACUCCGAAUUCAAUGGAUCUCGUUAACCCAGCAGUCAGGCUGCGAGGGAUAAGCUUCGUAGCCAAGAGGGCAACAGCCCAGACCGACGGCUAAGGUGCCAAAAUACUGUUAAGUGGAAAGGAUGUGACGUUGCUAAGACAGUGAGGAUGUUGGCUUAGAGGCAGCCAUCAUUUAAACAGUGCGUAAUAGCUGACUCAUCGAGCGAUGUCGCGCCGAAAAUGAUUGGCGAUUAAACAGUAUACCGAAGCCACGGAUUUCAGAUUGGUUAGCCAGUCUGAUGUGGUAGGAGAGCGUAAUCGAUUCUGUGAAGCCAGACUGAAAGGGAUGGUGGAGAGUCGAUUAGUGAGAAUGCAGACACGAGUAGCGAUAAACUAGAUGAGAAUUCUAGUCGCCGUAAACCCAAGGUUUCCUAGGCUAGGUUCGUCCUCCUAGGGUUAGUCGGGAGCUAAGACGAGGCCGUAAGGCGUAGUUGAUGCACAGCAGGUUAAUAUUCCUGCACUAGGUUUGGCCAAGGCUGGAAAAGACGCAGAAAAUAAGACAACAGUAUCAAUGAAAGAUACAGCUAAAGCGAAAGCUGAGGUGAGUUGUUAGAUGUUCUGCCCAGAAAAUUUUCCAGUCGUUUCUAAACUAACCCGUACCGUAAACCGACACAGGUGGGUGAGUGUAAGUGCACAAAGGCGCGCGAGAGAGACCUCUCUAAGGAACUCGGCACAUUAGCCCCGUAACUUCGGGAAAAGGGGUGCUCUGAGCAAUCAGAGCCACAGUAAAUUGCGUUUACCGACUGUUUAACAAAAACACAGCUCUCUGCUAAGUCGUUAAGACGAAGUAUAGGGAGUGACACGUGACCAAUGCGGAAAGAUCAAGGUGACUUGUUAGCCGCAAGGCGAAGCUCGGAGCCAAAGUCCCCGUGAAUGUCGGCCGUAACUAUAACGGUCCUAAGGUAGCGAAAUUCCUUGUCGGGUAAGUUCCGACCUGCACGAAUCGUGUAACGAGUGAACGACUGUCUCGGAGAGGAUCUCGGCGAAACUGUAAUUGCGGUGAAGAUGCCGCAUGCCCGCAGUAGGACGGAAAGACCCUAUGCACCUUUACUGUAAGCUGGUAUUGUGUUCUGGUUGAUGAUGCGUAGCGUAGGUGGGAGACUUUGAAGCAAGGGUUUCGGUCCUUGCCGAGUCGUAAUGUGAAACACCACUCUUCGUCAAUUAGGAUUCUAACCUUGAUUCCUGUAUAACCAGGCGAGGGACAGUGCUUGCGGGUCAGUUUGGCUGGGGCGGCUUCCUCCUAAAUGGUAACGGAGGAGCGCGAUGCUAGGUUCAGCAUGGUUGGCAAUCAUGCGUAGAGGGUAUGGCUAGAAACCUGGUUAACUGUGAGACCAACAAGUCGAGCAGAUGCGAAAGCAGGCCCAAAUGAUCCGAUGGUUUAAUGUGGAAUUGCCAUCGCUCAACGGACAAAAGGUACGCUAGGGAUAACAGGCUGAUCGGAUCCAAGAGUUCACAUCGACGAACCGGUUUGGCACCUCGAUGUCGGCUCAUCGCAUCCUGGGGCUGGAGAAGGUCCCAAGGGUCCGGCUGUUCGCCGGUUAAAGCGGUACGCGAGCUGGGUUCAGAACGUCGUGAGACAGUUCGGUCCUUAUCCACUGUGGGCGCAGGAGACUUGAGGGGUUCAAACCCUAGUACGAGAGGACCGGGUUUGACGCACUUCUGGUGUGGCAGUUGUUCCGUCAGGGGCAUAGCUGCGUAGCCAUGUGCGGAAGAGAUAAGCGCUGAAAGCAUCUAAGUGCCAAGCUCAUCCCAAGAUAAUGUCUCCCGGUCGUGAGACCCUAAAGACCACGGGCAGACUACCCGUUUAAUAGGUCAGGUGUGCAAACCCCGUGAGGGGAAAGCAGACUGAUACUAAUUGGUCGUGAGGCUUGAUUUC
rnacentral:rRNA from 1 species